rnacentral:rRNA from 1 species
GACGAACCGUGCGAACGUUGUUCGGAUUCACUGGGCUUAAAGGGCGCGUAGGCGGGCCAUCAAGUCAGGGGUGAAAUCCCACGGCUCAACCGUGGAAGUGCCUUUGAUACUGGUGGCCUCGAGGGAGGUAGGGGCGUGCGGAACUUCCGGUGGAGCGGUGAAAUGCGUAGAUAUCGGAAGGAACGCCGGUGGCGAAAGCGGCGCGCUGGACCUCUUCUGACGCUGAGGCGCGAAAGCCAGGGGAGCAAACGGG